GGCAAAGUCCUUCGGGCAACGAGGUUAAAUUGGGACAAUCUUUAAUAUACAAAUUUGAGAGUGAAGUGAGACGACUGAUUCCUUCUGGCAACGAAGUUAAAUUGGGACAACUCCAAAUAAACAAGUGUGAUAGGGAAAUGAGGUGGCCGACCUCUUCCGACAACAAAGGUAAUUUGGGACACCCACCAAUUCUCAAUCCUAAUAGUGAAGUGAGU
rnacentral:misc_RNA from 1 species